AUUGCAGACUGCGGCAUGGCACAGGUCAGGAAACUGAGGUCCAGGGAAGUUCAAUCACUUGCUCAUGGACACCAAGAAUCUUUCAAGAGGUGGUAGGGUGCCUCUCCUUGGAGAUCUUCACACAGGAGCUAGAUGACCACUUGUUCAUUCACAUAUUCUGUGGUCCUGCGUUAUCUCCAUUUGAUUCAGCAAAUGUUCAUCAAGUGCUGACUACGUACAAGGCACCAUCCUAAGCAAUGAGGUAAAAAGAUUUUAUACAUUAAUUAUCUAUACAUGUGAAUAUAUUAUUGUUGUUUUUCAGU
ensembl:lncRNA